AUGCAUGGUGCCCGUUGUCAGGAGCCCCUGCCCUGUGUGGCUCAGGAUCUGACACAGGACAGCCUGGAGGAGGAGGCCCCCGGCGACAGCCUGUGGCCCACCACCGUCACCCUCCUCACUCUCUUCCUGCUGAGCCUGUUCUACAGCACAGCUCUCACCAUGACAAACAUCCGGGGCCCACCUGGCAGCAAAGAGGGACCCCAGACUCAGAGAUGUCCUGGGCAGGAGGCGGCCGUGUGGUCAGAGCUCCAGGAACAAGCGCUCCUUGGCAUUGGAGCCCUGGUGGCCAUGAGGACUGUCGACUGCUGCUUCAUGGGGGAGGGGUGCCAGUAUCUCACGAAUACCAGCCCCAACCUCUUCCCACUACCCUGCCCCAUACUUGGACCCGGAGAGCCCGUGGUCGUCGGCUGCCUGAUCCAGGGCUUCUUCCCGCUGGGCCCUCUGAGCGUGAGCUGGAACGUCAGCGGCGAGAACAUGAUCUUCCCUCCUGUCCAGUCGGACAUUUCAGGCCUGUACACCACAUACAGCCUGCUGAGGCUAUCAGCUGAGCAGUGUCCUGAAGAAGACAGUGUGGCCUGCCACGUGGAGCACAACUACGACAAGGGCCAGGAUGUGACUGUGCCCGGCCCCCCAGCCUGCGAUGAGCACACCACAGAACCACCAACUACACCCACCUGUCCCUGUCCCUGCCCCUCCCCCUCCUGCGGGGAGCCCAGCCUGUCCCUGCAGCGGCCAGACCUCGGGGACCUGCUCCUGAACUCGAACGCCAGCCUCACCUGCACCCUGAGAGGCCUGUUGAACCCCGAGGGCGCCGUCUUCACCUGGAAUCCAACAUUUGGGAAGGAACCCGUCCAGCAGAGCGCCCAGCGUGACCACUGCGGCUGCUACAGUGUGUCCAGCGUGCUGCCCAGCUGUGCAGUGCUCUGGAAUGCUGGGAAGGAAUUCACCUGCACAGUCACCCACCCUGAGAUAGAGCGCGGCAACCUAACAGGCACCAUUAGCAAAGACACAGGCGUCGUCACCCCGCCCCAGGUACACCUGCUGCCGCCGCCGACUGAGGAGCUGGCCCUCAACGCGCUGGUGACGCUGACCUGCCUGGUGCAGGGCUUCAGCCCCAAGGACGUGCUGGUGUCCUGGACACACAAUGGCACCCCGGUGGUCCCCAAAGACAGCUACCUGGUGUGGAAGCCCCUGCCCGAGCCCGGCCAGCAACCCACCACCUACGCUGUCACCAGCCUGCUGCGCGUGUCGGCCGAGGACUGGAACCAGGGGGACAGCUUCUCCUGCGUGGUGGGCCAUGAGGGCCUGGCCGAGCACUUCACCCAGAAGACCAUCGACCGGCAGGCGGGUAAACCCACCCACGUCAACGUGUCUGUGGUCGUGGCAGACGUGGAAGGCGUGUGCUACUGAGCCCCUGGCCGUGCCCUGAAUAAACUCCGUGCUCGCCCCCA